UACUCCUACGGGAGGCAGCAGUGAGGAAUAUUGGUCAAUGGGCGAGAGCCUGAACCAGCCAAGUCGCGUGAAGGAAGACGGUUCUAUGAAUUGUAAACUUCUUUUGUAGAGGAAUAAAGUGGGUUACGUGUAGCCUUUUGUAUGUACUUUACGAAUAAGGAUCGGCUAACUCCGUGCCAGCAGCCGCGGUAAUACGGAGGAUCCAAGCGUUAUCCGGAUUUAUUGGGUUUAAAGGGUGCGUAGGUGGAUUGAUAAGUCAGCGGUGAAAGUUUGCAGCUUAACUGUAAAAUUGCCGUUGAAACUGUCAGUCUUGAGUGCAAAUGAGGUAGGCGGAAUGUGUUGUGUAGCGGUGAAAUGCUUAGAUAUAACACAGAACUCCGAUUGCGAAGGCAGCUUACUGGGAUGCAACUGACACUGAUGCACGAAAGCGUGGGUAUCAAACAGGAUUAGAUACCCUGGUAGUCA
rnacentral:rRNA from 1 species